UGUUAUUGCCUAUCGUCACCAAAGAGGUAAGUCUAGGUAGUGAAGAGGUGUGUGACACUCACCGGUACUGAGGUUCAGUGAUGGACAACCAGUGUUCUUUAUCAAUUAAUACAUUUAUUUAUUUUAUUAUUUGUACUUUAUCAGAGUAUAUUUAACAAAUACAUACAUAUUUUUAAAGAUUUAUUAAUUAUUUAUGAGUAUACUGUUGCUGUCUUCAGACACACCAGAAGAGGGCAUCAGAUCUCAUUACAGAUGGUUGUGAGCCACCAUGUGGUUGCUGGGAAUUGAACUCAGGACCUCUGGAAGAGCAGUCCAUGCUCUUAACCUCUGAGCUAUCUCUCUUUGACUGCUCCUAGAUACACGUGCACUGUAAGACAAUUACUACAACCAAGCUAAUGAAUGGGUAUAUGCUCGCCACACACCACUGGUUUCAUUGUUGAAACAAUCAAACAGUGCUCUCUUUCCUAUUUUAUGUGUUUGAUGGAGAAUUGCUAACUAUAGUCAACAUUUCUAGAACUUACUCAUAAAUGAAGCUUUUACCCUUUAACCACUUUAAGGGAAUUGGAAAAUACUGAAAAUCAUGGCUAUUCUCUUACCCUGUGAUGAAAUGUUCUUUUAUAAUACAAUUUUAUCAAUCAGAUUUUGUGUGUCCACUAAAGUUUUAAAAGUUGCUAAAUCUCUGUAGAAUAACUUGUCACUAGGAAAUCACCCAAACCUUUAAGGCAGACACAAAUCAUGAACUACCACUUAAAACACCCUG
rnacentral:lncRNA from 1 species